rnacentral:lncRNA from 1 species
CUUUAAACAUAUUCACCUUGCUCAUAUGGGCUUUUAUUGGGCUUUAUAGGCCUAAACGAUUACACUUGAUCCAUGAAACAAUUCAUCUUCGUUGCCAAAUUCUUUUUACUGCUACUGCAAAAUUGUUGUCUGAUUUCAACUAUACCAAUCGAUUCUAUAUCAAUGGAAAUUUCGUUUUCUUACUGGGUCUCUGAGUCUCCGACUGGAAUUCAACUAUACCAAUCGAUUCUACGAUAAUUGAUUCGAUCACCAUGUUCGUCGACUACGUUGGUCUUGCCACGCUUCAGCAGCUCGGUGUUUUGAAGUAGAGCUCAAGAGCCAUUGAUUCAGGCAGUGAGAUAGAGGUUGAAUUAAGAACAAGUUCCAUCUUUUGCCGAGAAAAAUGGUAAAUUUGUUUAUCUAAAACUCUAGAAGUGCUUAUUUAGUGGAGAUAUAGGUUAGAAGAAGGAAUCUAGUUUCCGGUUUCAAAUUGAACCGGGUUUUAAUUUCCCAAUUGAUAUUUUCAGAACCAAUCAUUUAUUCCGGAUAAUUAGGUCUGAUUCGUUAGAAAUUUGAAAUAGAAAAAACAUUAACUUAUGAUUAAUUAAUAUAAAUUUACUGCUUAAUUUGAUGACCAAAUGAGAUUUUCUAUACGAACCUGUGGAUAGACUAAGCCAGUUGAACCGAUUGGUUCGGAUCAAUGUCAAGAGCUGAAACGAUCGAAAUAGAAACGACUGCGUUUUGUAGAAAAGCUAAAUAAUAACAGGAGCUAGCAACAUGUCUACUAUUGCUAUUUUUUUAGAGUUUUUAAGCCAAUCAGAAGGCUCUAUUUUAGAACCACUCGCACAAAGUGCGCGUAGAGAGCGUGAGAGCAAUUCUGUAGGGGUUUACCUGCUGAAAUCAUGCCUUUUUUUAUCAACGCACUUGUCUCCAAAAUCACCAUCGCGUGAAUAUUUUUUUCUUCCCUCUCUAAACCAGUCUAAACCAAACCCAAAAUCGAUUUUAAUUUCAAUACCAAUAUAAACUUUUUGUUCCGGUUCGAGAUCUCGUCUGAUUUCUUCAAUCAAAGGCUCUCUCCGACGAACUGCAAAUUCUUCUGCGGCGGAUUCCCUUAUCGGCUAUUCAAUUCCAAAUAAGCUAAGAGGAAGAACUUGAAUU